rnacentral:tRNA from 1 species
UCCCUGGUGGCCUAGCGGUUAAGGACUGGCAUUGUCACUGCUGUGGUCCAAGUUCAAUCCCUGGCCCGGGAA